AUCCCUUCGCAGUGGCGAUAUCAUAGCCUAUGAGGUCUAGCCGAGGCGUGAUUAUUGCUGGUUGAAAAACUAACCCAAUACCCAGCGGGACGACUUGCAUACAGUCGGCCCUGGCAAUUUUUGAUAGUCUUCAGAGAC
rnacentral:snRNA from 1 species